GGACCUUUAGCUCAGUUGGUUAGAGCAACCGGCUCAUAACCGGUUGGUCCGGGGUUCGAGUCCCUGAAGGUCCAUCA
rnacentral:tRNA from 1 species